UACGGAGGAGCCAAGCGUUGUCCGGAUUGACUGGGCGUAAAGCGCACGCAGGCGGAUGCGCGCGUGGGGUGUGAAAUCUGGCCGCUUAACGGCCAGGCGCCAUCCCAUACGGCGCGUCUGGAGUGAUGCAGAGGUCGAUGGAAUUGCCGGUGUAGUGGUGAAAUGCGUAGAGAUGACAUAGAACACCUAUUGCGAAGGCAGCUUACUACGCCUAUAUUGACGCUGAGGCACGAAAGCGUGGGGAUCAAACAGG
rnacentral:rRNA from 1 species